GAGUUUGAUCAUGGCUCAGGAUGAACGCUGGCGGCGUGCCUAACACAUGCAAGUCGAGCGAUUCUCUUCGGAGAAGAGCGGCGGACGGGUGAGUAACGCGUGGGUAACCUGCCUCAUACACAUUGGAUAACAUACCGAAAGGUAUGCUAAUACAGGAUAACAUAAGAGAUUCACAUGGAUUUCUUAUCAAAGCUCCGGCGGUAUGAGAUGGACCCGCGUCUGAUUAGCUAGUUGGUAAGGUUAACGGCUUACCAAGGCGACGAUCAGUAGCCGACCUGAGAGGGUGAUCGGCCACAUUGGAACUGAGACAACGGUCCAAACUCCUACGGGAGGCAGCAGUGGGGAAUAUUGCACAAUGGGCGAAAGCCUGAUUGGCAGCAACCGCCGCGUGAGUGAUGAAGGCCUUCGGGUCGUAAAACUCUGUCCUCAAGGAAGAUAAUGACGGUACUUGAGGAGGAAGCCCCGGCUAACUACGUGCCAGCCGCCGC
rnacentral:rRNA from 1 species